rnacentral:rRNA from 1 species
CGGGGGAACCAAACGUUUUUCCUGAAAGGAACGCUAAUACCGCAUACGUUCCUACGGGAGAAAGCAGGGGACCUUCGGGCCUUGCGCUAUCAGAUGAGCCUAGGUCGGAUUAGCUAGUUGGUGGGGUAAUGGCUCACCAAGGCGACGAUCCGUAACUGGUCUGAGAGGAUGAUCAGUCACACUGGAACUGAGACACGGUCCAGACUCCUACGGGAGGCAGCAGUGGGGAAUAUUGGACAAUGGGCGAAAGCCUGAUCCAGCCAUGCCGCGUGUGUGAAGAAGGUCUUCGGAUUGUAAAGCACUUUAAGUUGGGAGGAAGGGCAGUAAGUUAAUACCUUGCUGUUUUGACGUUACCGUA